UCGUACCUACGGGAGGCAGCAGUAGGGAAUUUUCGUCAAUGGGCGCAAGCCUGAACGAGCAAUGCCGCGUGAACGAGGAAGGUCUUCGGAUCGUAAAGUUCUGUUGAAGGGGAAAAAGAGCGGAGAGAGGAAAUGAACUCCGAUUGAUAUUACCCUUCGAGGAAGUCACGGCUAACUACGUGCCAGCAGCCGCGGUAAUACGUGGGGAGCGAGCGUUAUCCGGAUUUAUUGGGUGUAAAGGGUGCGUAGGCGGCUUCUUAAGUCUGUAGUCUAAGCCCGGAGCUUAACUCCGGUUCGCUACAGAA
rnacentral:rRNA from 1 species